AACGCACGAGACCUGCGGACCUGCGGAGGGAUCAUUACCGAGUUAGGGUAGUCAUUCACUGCCCGACCUCCCAAUCCUGUGUCUACCACACUUUGUCGUUGCUUCGGCGGACCGGUUGACCAACUGGUCGUGACCGCCGGGGGCUGGCUCUGUCCCCCCUGGAGAGCGUCCGCCGAUGGCCCAACCACAAAAACUCUUGUACCGAAACGUGUCGUCUGAAUUAUAUUUUGAGAAAUCAAA
rnacentral:misc_RNA from 1 species